CCAGUAGUCAUAUGCUUGUCUCAAAGAGUAAGCCAUGCAUGUCUAAGUUCACACCCUCGUACGGUGAAACCGCGAAUGGCUCAUUAAAUCAGUCGAGGUUCCUUAGUUGAUCCAUUUCUACUUGGCUAACUGUGGUAAUUCUAGAGCUAAUACAUGCCCAACAGCUCCGACCCCGGGCUUCACGGUUCGGGGAAAGAGCGCUUUUAUUAGUUCAAAACCAGUCGGGGGUUUCGGCCCUCGUGCUUUGGUGACUCUGGAUAACUUUGAGCCGAUCGCAUGGCCUCGAGCCGGCGACGCAUCUUUCAAAUGUCUGCCCUAUCAAAUGACGACGGUACGUGAUCUGCCUACCGUGUUGACUACGGGUAGCGGGGAAUCAGGGUUAGAUUCCGGAGAGGGAGCAUGAGA
rnacentral:rRNA from 1 species